CUCUUUAGCUUGGCAUUUGAAUCGGCUUUGCUGUUGCGAAGUAGAGUGGCGGCUUCGGCUGCCGAGGGUCGAUCCAUUUGGGAAUGUGUGUAUUCGGUAUGCAUCUCA